ACCUUCGGGCCUCUUGCCAUCAGAUGUGCCCAGAUGGGAUUAGCUUGUUGGUGAGGUAACGGCUCACCAAGGCGACGAUCCCUAGCUGGUCUGAGAGGAUGACCAGCCACACUGGAACUGAGACACGGUCCAGACUCCUACGGGAGGCAGCAGUGGGGAAUAUUGCACAAUGGGCGCAAGCCUGAUGCAGCCAUGCCGCGUGUAUGAAGAAGGCCUUCGGGUUGUAAAGUACUUUCAGCGGGGAGGAAGGUGUUGUGGUUAAUAACCGCAGCAAUUGACGUUACCCGCAGAAGAAGCACCGGCUAACUCCGUGCCAGCAGCCGCGGUAAUACGGAGGGUGCAAGCGUUAAUCGGAAUUACUGGGCGUAAAGCGCACGCAGGCGGUCUGUCAAGUCGGAUGUGAAAUCCCCGGGCUCAACCUGGGAACUGCAUUCGA
rnacentral:rRNA from 2 species